UCAAGAUUCAAGCAAGUUUCAGGCUGGGUCCUGUUCCCAGUCAAGCUGAGGGGUGUAGCUUUGCUGGAGGUUUCGAUGAGAGCUGCUGCAGUAAUUAAAAUUUUUAAGUCACAUGCUUAAAAAUAAUUGCUUUUACCUUGAAUAAUGCCAGCGUGCUAAUUUUUGCGGAAAAUGGGUAGUUGUGCAUGUGAAGAAUUGCACAACUUCAGCGGCAGCCACCGUGCUCGUGGUGAGGGGAAGCCCGGCUAAUCCAGCUCAUGACUUCUUCGCCAAGAGGGUUAGUGAUGUCCCACGGUCUGUAGAUGAGCCGUGUGGGAGGAAGAGCGAAAGGCAAAGCCAAGGACCAUCACCACGUGUGCUCAGACAAGCUCCAGGGUUGACGUCGUAACUGGAGGGACAGCACAAAGCCUCCCAAAAGGUCCUGGCCAGCAUCCUCCCAUAUUGCUGCCUCUGUCACAGCACAGUCAUCAAACCGAUGGUCAUGAUCCAACAGACAGGGACUCCAGUGACCCGUCUGCCACGUGAAGGAUGAACCCCGCUGCCUCAUUGCCCUGAUGUCGUCCGAAAAGAGGAUUCAUGGCCUGGUGUGCAAGCAAACGCUGUUACCAAACCAACCUAUGAACAGAAGAGGACAAGUCAAUGCUGUUUCUGGAAGCAAACUGAUGACACAGCCAAUAUAGAUGUUCCUGAGAAGCUUUGGCAAGAUGUACUGCCACGUCACUGUGGGAGCUAGAAAUCCUGAACCUGGAGUCCUCAGGAGCAGCCUGUGUUCAGGUGCAGAGGCUGAAUUGUUACCUGGUUUACUGACACUGAUUGCCAUGGCUUCCUGAUGACUUACCACAGCUGAGCAUCUUGUCCCAUUUCUGUGGCAGGUAUAAAGGAGAACGUUGGAAAAGGUGGAAAAAUAAAAACCAGCCAAGAUCACUUGUUUUUACUGUAAUAGAAUCAAACUCUGUUCUUAUCGUGUUAGUGAGGUUGAAGUAGUAGGUGAGUUCCUUGUAUUUUUAAUAUUUAUAUUACUAUGCCAGCUAAGCAUCUCACAGAUUUGAAGUUAUCCUCCCAGUGCUCUCAUGUUACUCCCAUUUUGCAGAGGAGGAAUUUUGAUGAGGAUGAGGAAGUCUGAGACAGAGUAAACACAGGCCUCAUGAUUUCUACCCUCAGAAUCUUUUGUACCCUUGCUAUACUCUAAAAAUAUCCUUUUGCAGAAAUUAUAAUGGCUUUUUUGGUAUUUUAGGAUUCUUGACCCACUCCAGGUAUAUACGCUUGAUAGAAGAGACAGGCAGUUCAAUGUUUUCACUGAGUGACCUUCUGGCUUUAUGCAGUAAACCUACCGCAUGAGCUUGUUUUGCACUUGUGUUCAAGCUGGAUCACCUUGAAAAAUACGAAUUAUCUCUGAGUCUAUAUUUUGCCUUUGAAAAGAAACUAGUAUUAGAAGCAGUUUAAAAAUGAUAGAAAAACUUUACUCAAAGGAAAAUGUUUGGCUACUUGAGAUUCCUCGUUUUAAAAAUUCAACAUUUGGGAAAAAUCCUAAAGUAGAAAGAAGUAUUUCCUUUCUGAAAUAAUGCUUUGAUGCACUGUGCUCCGGUUCAUCUCUGUCAGUCAGGCUCCCAGUAGGACAGCAAGAGAAAAGAGGAUUGUGUUGCAGAGUCCUAUUCCAUGGUGUACUGUGGGAGCUUCAGCCCAAUAAAGGAAAAAUGAGUCAGGACAAAACUGGGCUACAGUUUCCCUGCAGAACCGCAAUGUGAUAUCCACGAUGAAACUUUGAUUUGAAAACACUGAAUUAAUCCAUGGACUUUUAGACCACCUUCACAGUUCAGAUGGAAAUCCAUUUAUUAAAUCCCAGCAUCACACAGCAAUACACAGCUCCUUCAGUCACGUUACGGCAAAGCUCUUGUCGCUUACUGCUUAUUAUCUAAUUACAUCCGUACAAGGUAGUUACACCUGCAAGCAUGCCAUUAGAUGACUUGUAAAGGUGUUGCACUACGGAGCUGCAGAUCUAUCCUGGCUGAGCCCAGAGAGUGUUCAGAAACGGCUGACAACAAUUCCUAUGUCAUCUACCUUGAUUUUUUGAAGUACUGGUGCCUCCAUACAGCAGUUAUCAUCCUUUUAAAUAAUUUUCCAAUAGAAGGGAUCCUCAGCACCAUAGCCAUUUCUCUUGUGUGUAGAAGAGAGCACAGGGAGAUAGGUGGACCACCAGACUUCAGCUGAAACACCACGAGUGUUCAGUGAGCCCAACCAAAGAGACUAAGGUUUCAUGGUAACAAGCAUCAAGGACUAUACUUGACCACCUAUUCCUGCAGUGCAGAGAGCAGACAAAGAAUAAUGGCUAACCUCUGCGGUAGGGUGGAAAUGCAUGUAAAUGAUGAAUAUGCCAUACAGAAUAAAAAUAAAGGGAGGGGUAAAAGAAAGAAGACAGGCAGACUAGCACAAUCGGCAGUAAAGAUUAGGCAGUCUUUCCUACUAGGGCAGGCACUUCACAUCGUAACUUAGUCUGACCAGCAACUCUGUUUCAAGAAGGAUUUGGACAUCUGUUCAUUGGAACUUCCAGAAACACCACAGGUUAAAGGACAGAGCACCAUGGUACCAGACCCUUCUCUCAUUACCUGUACCAGUAAUACAAAAUGUCUUGAUCUAUAGAAGGUAACCAGAUAUAACCACACCAUCUUAUUUAAACCCAAACAAAGUAAAAGCUGAAUUUACUGGCUACUUGGCACUCAAACUUUUUCUUGCAACCUUUUAUCAUGGAAAGCUCAGACUCAUCUCCAUCAUGCGUCUCAUAUUUUCUAAUCCUGUGACUUCUGCUUUGCACAACUAAAGCUAAAACGGUCUGAACUGCGUAUACUAAUUAAUCAUAUAUGACAAUUCAUUACUUCCAUUCCUAUCCUAUUCUCUCCCCACUGGUUUCCUGUGUUGUCUUACAUACGUAAAAUGAAAAUGAAGAAUGAAAACACUGUUUCCUGUACUGUCUUACACUACGUCGCCGUGGUGGCCCUAACGCUCGGCAGCUGGUGGGGCUGCCAGCAGGCAGGUGUGGUGUGUGUUCUCUUCUGAUGCGUGACGAUGCUGGGUUUGGUGCGAGCGUUUGUGCUGUCGGUGACUUGGCCCAAGAGGGAAGUAAGACUCAGAAUGAUUUUAGCAAGGGUAGAUCUCCGCUGGGGACAGACCCUGCUGUCCCCAAGGCAAGAGUUGCUACCUGCUACGCAUGUUAGGAUAAAGGGCACGUCUGCAGACAGCUGAAGAGCCUCAGAAGCCCAGGGACAGAGGAGAACUCCUCACAUUCCACAUGGCUGAAGACAGGAGCUGCCUCAAUACGCAAGGUUUUGUGAAGGACUCGUGGCGAUUUCUCAUGAAGAGGGAGAUGGGGAACAAAAUGUUGGUGAGGCUUUGCAGGGGACGGACUGCUAACGACCAAAGGCUCAGACAGGCGAAGCAUAACCAAGAGCGGAUCAGAGCACAGGAAGGCGUGAGGCUGGUUUGUGAAGAAAGACGACGGCUGCUCUGUACCUCACGAAGGCCCAGGCCUCCCCUCUCUGUGACUUGGCGGGAGGCAGGCAGAGAGCGGGAACACACACCUGAACUGGCCGAUUUCC